UACAUACUCCCUCCGUCCCAAAAAGUUUGUCUUGCAUUUGUCUAGAUACUAAUGUACUUACACAUGUUUUAGUGUUGGAUACAUCUGUAUCAAACAAAUCUAAGGCAAAUUUUUUGGGACGGAAGUAAUAGUAU
rnacentral:pre_miRNA from 1 species